CAAACAUAAGCCUAAUUUACAAAACUAGGAAUUUAAUGUCUCCCAUUUUACUUUUAAGCACUGACGAUAAGCAGUCCUUACACUUUCCUCACAGCAUGAUCUCUCAGAAAGGAAGGAGGAGAAGAACCAUGAAUUCAUGUUCAACCUCUGCAGCAGGACAUGAAAGCCAAAAGCCAUGCGUAGAGGUUGGUGUGGAACACUCAUUUGAGCAAGAAAAUCAAAGUAAUUUACGUUUUAAAAGGAUCUUGAGGCGACUUAGUCUAUGAACCUCGACCUCGGACCUUCAUCGCCGAGGGUAAUAAGAGGCUAGUUGCCAGGUUAUAAGCGUUUUAUUCCAAUAAAUUAUAAACACAUGAUGUAGACGCAAAAAUGAAAAACUUGGAAUUCAGUGGACGUCUUGAAUUCUGCGUAGAGUUACCUGUUUUGAUCAUGUUUGGCUUUGCUUAAAAGCCCAAAAAAGACUAAGUAAGGUCUUCUUUUGGACUUUAGUUCGCUUCAAAGCUCAAAUUAAAAAAGCUUACGAAAGGAUAAUGUAUAUUCAUAUUGCUGUGGAUCCAACUUCAUUCUAGUGUGUGUCAGUUGUUUA